GAGUGUUUAUAGAGCUGUGAGUUUAACACUUCAUGACUGAGAGCAGAACAGAACACAAUCUUCAUCAUCACACAAGACACAACAACAACAAUGAACAACAUCAUCAUCCUCAUCUGGACCAUUGCAGCUUUUAUUCAAGAAUCCAGAGCAGUCACUCUGACUCAACCUGAAGUUAUAACUGUCGAGCUCGGUCAAACAGUGAUAAUAGAGUGUCGUAUAGAUGUAGGAAUAUACAGCAACGAAUUAGCCUGGUAUCAGCAGAAACCUGGAGAAACUCCUAAACUCCUCAUAUAUGACAUAAACAGCCUCCAGUCAGGAACUCCAUCUAGAUUCAUUGGCAGUGGAACUUCCAUUGUUUUAACUCUGACCAUCAGUGGAGUCCAGCCUGAAGAUACAGGAGAUUAUUACUGUCAGAGUUACCACUACAUGGGUACUAGGCUGUUCACACAGUGAUAAAGAGUCGUACAAAAACCUCCGUCAGUCAGAGUCACAGUGACUGCACUGAUACAGCUGAGAGACACUGCAGCUGCUGAUGAGAGGAUCACAAACAACA